UACGUAGGGUCCAAGCGUUAUCCGGAAUUACUGGGCGUAAAGCGUGUGUAGGUGGCGCGUUAAGUGCAACGCGAAAUCUUGCGGCUCAACCGUAAUAGACUGUGUUGCAUACUGGCGUGCUCGAGGGACGUGAGAGGCAAGUGGAAUUUGUAGUGUAGCAGUGAAAUGCGUAGAUAUUACAAGGAACACCAAUGGCGAAGGCAGCUUGCUGGCACGUAUCUGACGCUGAGACACGAAAGCGUGGGGAGCGAACAGG
rnacentral:rRNA from 1 species